GUCCACGCCCUAAACGAUGUCAACUGGUUGUCGGGGAAGUAAUUCCUUGGUAACGAAGCUAACGCGUGAAGUUGACCGCCUGGGGAGUACGGCCGCAAGGCUAAAACUCAAAGGAAUUGACGGGGACCCGCACAAGCGGUGGAUUAUGUGGAUUAAUUCGAUGCAACGCGAAAAACCUUACCUACCCUUGACAUGCUAGGAAGCUCGCAGAGAUGUGAGUGUGCCCGAAAGGGAACCUAGACACAGGUGCUGCAUGGCUGUCGU
rnacentral:rRNA from 1 species